rnacentral:rRNA from 1 species
GACGAACGCUGGCGGCGUGCUUAACACAUGCGAGUCGAACGGAAAGGCCCUGCUUUUGUGGGGUGCUCGAGUGGCGAACGGGUGAGUAACACGUGAGUAACCUGCCCUUGACUUUGGGAUAACUUCAGGAAACUGGGGCUAAUACCGGAUAGGAGCUCCUGCUGCAUGGUGGGGGUUGGAAAGUUUCGGCGGUUGGGGAUGGACUCGCGGCUUAUCAGCUUGUUGGUGGGGUAGUGGCUUACCAAGGCUUUGACGGGUAGCCGGCCUGAGAGGGUGACCGGCCACAUUGGGACUGAGGUACGGCCCAGACUCCUACGGGAGGCAGCAGUGGGGAAUAUUGCACAAUGGGCGGAAGCCUGAUGCAGCAACGCCGCGUGCGGGAUGACGGCCUUCGGGUUGUAAACCGCUUUCGCCUGUGACGAAGCGUGAGUGACGGUAAUGGGUAAAGAAGCACCGGCUAACUACGUG